UUAUAUUAAACAAACGCAUAAACGAUAGACAGUGAUAUAUAGUGAUGU
rnacentral:guide_RNA from 1 species